GUAGGUGGCAAGCGUUGUCCGGAAUUAUUGGGCGUAAAGCGCGCGCAGGCGGUUUUUAAGUCUGAUGUGAAAGCCCACGGGCUCAACCGUGGAGGGUCAUUGGAAACUGGAGAACUUGAGUACAGAAGAGGAAAGCGGAAUUCCACGUGUAGCGGUGAAAUGCGUAGAGAUGUGGAGGAACACCAGUGGCGAAGGCGGCUUUCUGGUCUGUAACUGACGCUGAGGCGCGAAAGCGUGGGGAGCAAACAGGAUUAGAUACCCUGGUAGUCCACGCCGUAAACGAUGAGUGCUAAGUGUUAGGGGGUUCCCGCCCCUUAGUGCUGCAGCUAACGCAUUAAGCACUCCGCCUGGGGAGUACGGCCGCAAAGGCUG
rnacentral:rRNA from 1 species